GCAGAUCCUCGGCACUGGUUUGGCACAAGACUUCCCGAGCAGGACAAGUAACCCACAAAAUGUAGCCAGUAUCCAGGGCUGCUCACAGCUUUGCUUCUUGUUAAGGAAGAUGAUGGUCUUAAAAUGGUUUUACCACAAGAAACUUCCCCUACAUGGAAUAUACCUGUUGCUUUCCCCUGAGGCCUCACACUGCCACUCUGAGGAGUAUAAUGAUAGAUCCAGAGGGUUUACCACAGAUCAUGGGGAGACAAUACAGAUUUGUUAAGAGACAAGCUUUCACGGCCAAAUGUGUCAUAAAUAUACCUAAUGAAGGGUCUUGAGAUGGCCAGGACAGUGCGGAUGAACCAUGUUGGCAUCUCUUCAGCCAGCUGAUGCCAGGCAUCUUUCUGCGAGGAGUUGCUCCAUUCAGGUAAACAAUCAUGUAAUCCUCUGCUACCAGCAGCUCCAGGCUGCUCACAACAUACCUGAGAACAGACAUGAACAACCUAUAACUGUACAUGAAAAUAGCACAUAAAAUCCCCUCAUUUGAUUUAUGAUGAAAAAGAGUUCUGAUAUUUUAUUUGUGGAGAUAAAAUGAUCUUUCAUUUAAAGGGGGAUCCAUUAAACUCACUUCCAGCUCUAGUUCAUCUCAUAAACUGUACCUGCAGGAUGUUACACUUUGAUUAGUGAGGCCCUGUUUUGAAGCUUUAGGCUGAGUAUUUUUGGCAUCACCAUUUCAUGUUUUGAAGCCAAACAUGUUGCCCACGGUCUUCCCCGAUCCAUAUCAUACUUUAACACCCCUUUUUAAUGGGGGUGUUUUCUGGUGUCUGUGUGUGGCGCUGCUGGGUAGUCUGUGCUGGCAAACAAAUGUUACCGGUCUGGUAGUUACUCCUGGGUGGGUCUGGGGCAGG